UCCAUACUUGCCCAUCUCUUCCUCUGUGCACCUGCAAUCAUGGGCAUCGCCGUCAUUUCACGCCAUUGUUGAAUCUUCCAUUUUAUAUUUUUUAACACCAAAUUCACAGAGAAUAUUUGAUAGAUACUACGGCUGAUUACGGACAGAGUGCGGGAACAAUUCGAGUAUUUUUUAUUUCUUACAGUGGCCGUGCCAAGCAACUAAUAUUGGAAAUUAUUAUUUUUUAUUUAUCAAUUUUGGGGUGCGAAAUUUUUCAAUACCAGGUGGGUAUCACAUGGUGCCCCCUCGGUACAUUCAGACCGCCCAUUUCAGUUUUGGACGGCUCGGAUGUAGAGAGAGAAAGAAGAGAGAGAAUGGUGGGGUAAGAGGAGAGAGAGGGUUACAAUCUGGGCUGUGCAACAAACUUUUGAACGGCGCGGAUGAACUGCUCAGGCACCACGUAGGCACGGACACGUAGUACCCAUCUGGUACCGAAAAAUUUAUCCAGUGUCACACCCCUCUACUGAUAUAGGAAGAAUCAGAAACCCGUGAAUUACUGUAGAAGAAAGUAUAAUACCAGAACUAAUUUCCUAGGUUGACUCGUACUACUAGUUUAAAAUUUUCUUAGACUGAUUCUAGGUCGGUAAGGAGUACCAAAUCAGCCACCUGAAUGGACGAAAUUGUCACGUCAAACAAAGGGAUUGAAGCCAAAGGGAUCUGGUAGACGGAUUCAGAGUUCUAGAUUUCUCCUGAAAUAUAGGGGUUUUUCUGGUCCAUAAUGAGAGUAGCGUGCAAAUUCAAAUGAAGUGAAAAGAUGGUUUAAAAGUACAAUGAUGUAACCGUGAUUGAUAGU